UACGUAGGGGGCAAGCGUUGUCCGGAUUUAUUGGGCGUAAAGAGCGUGUAGGCGGCCAGGUAGGUCUGCUGUGAAAACUCGAGGCUCAACCUCGAGACGUCGGCGGAAACCAUCUGGCUAGAGUCCGGGAGAGGAGAGUGGAAUUCCUGGUGUAGCGGUGAAAUGCGCAGAUAUCAGGAAGAACACCCGUGGCGAAAGCGGCUCUCUGGAACGGUACUGACGCUGAGACGCGAAAGCGUGGGGAGCGAACAGG
rnacentral:rRNA from 1 species